AGAACGAACGCUGGCGGCAUGCCUAAUACAUGCAAGUCGAACGAAGGCUUCGGGCCUUAGUGGCGCACGGGUGCGUAACGCGUGGGAAUCUGCCCCCUUGGUUCGGAAUAACAGUUGGAAACGACUGCUAAUACCGGAUGAUGACGAAAGUCCAAAGAUUUAUCGCCAAGGGAUGAGCCCGCGUAGGAUUAGCUAGUUGGUGAGGUAAAGGCUCACCAAGGCGACGAUCCUUAGCUGGUCUGAGAGGAUGAUCAGCCACACUGGGACUGAGACACGGCCCAGACUCCGUACGGGAGGCAGCAGUAGGGAUAUUGGACAGUGGGCGAAAGCCUAGAUCCGAGCAAUCGCCGCGUGACGUGAUGAAGGCCGUUAGGUUAGUAAGCUUACGUUUUACCCGAGUAUACGUAUAAGUA
rnacentral:rRNA from 1 species